GCCAAUAUGAAUUAUGCAUUAAUUCAAUGGAUCCUACUAGUAGGAGUUGUAUGUUGGCACUUUGAUUAUUAUUAAUUGAGCUCUAGCCCCCCAACAUAAAUUAGUAUGGAAUAUGUUGUUAUGUUUAUUCAUAGUAUUUAUUUUUAAAUAUCAUAUCUAAUGAUAAUAUUUGGAAUAUCUCCUUGAGAUUUUCAUUACUUCUAAACUAUCGAGCUC
rnacentral:lncRNA from 1 species